AGCUCCAAAAGCGUAUAUUAAAGUUGUUGCAGUUAAAAAGCUCGUAGUUGAAGUUCUGGCUGUAUUGGACUUUUGCACUAGAUGCGAAAGGACCAGCAGUCAUCCGCUUGCAAAUACAUGUCCUUCUUUAACCAGUAGGCUGUAUAAGUAAGCACUUUACCUUGAGAAAAACAGAGUGUUCCAGGCAGGUUUGUCCGGAAUGCGUUAGCAUGGAAUAAUAGAAUAUGACUGAAGUCGAUUUAUUGGUUUAAGGCUUUAGUAAUGAUUAAUAGGAACAAUCGGGGGCAUUGGUACUUGUCAGUCAGAGGUGAAAUUCUAGGAUUUGACAAAGACUAACUGAUGCGAAAGCGUUUGCCAAGAAUGUUUUCA
rnacentral:rRNA from 1 species